rnacentral:sRNA from 1 species
GAAAAAGAACACUGAGGUAGGGAAAUAGUGUCUCCAUCUCUUCUUCCUAGUAUUCAUGUCUACCAAAUGCUUUCUUUGGCUUCCUCUGAAAGAAGCCAGUUUCAGCAAGUGAGUUUGUGAUUCUUUCUCCUUUCAGGUACCUGUUUCCCAGGCAACUACUGAUCAGGCAUUUCUGGACCCCAAAACAACAAACUGAUUUCUUAGAUAUCUAUCAUGCUUUCCGGAAGCAGUCCCACCCAGAAAUUAUUAGUUAUUUAGAAAAGGUCAUCCCUUUCAUUUCUGAUGCAGGACUCCGGUGGCGUCUGACAGAUCUGUGCACCAAGGUAUUCCUGCAGUUAACCCUUCCUACAAAUGUGGAAUCUUGUUAGAUUCAGUGUGCACUAAAACUAGCUAAGAGGAGUAGUCAGGACUUUCCUAACAUCUACAAAUCUCUUACCUCUUCCAAGAUACAGCGUGGUACCCACCCAGCAAUACAUGAUAUCUUGGCUCUGAGAGAGUGUUUCUCUAACCAUCCUCUGGGCAUGAACCAACUCCAGGCUUUGCACGUGAAAGCCUUGAGCCGGGCCAUGCUUCUCACAUCUUACCUGCCUCCUCCCUUGUUGAGACAUCGUUUGAAGACUCAUACAACUGUGAUUCACCAACUGGACAAGGCUUUGGCAAAGCUGGGGAUUGGCCAGCUGACUGCUCAGGAAGUAAAAUCGGUAAGAGCUUGAUUGCAACAUCAACCC